UCACAGUAAAGUUAACAGGGCCCUUCAGAUAGAAUCUUCACUUAUCUCAGCAUUGAUUAUUGGUUUUGUAAAGUUAUAUUAACACGUCCAGAAAUGAACUCUCAAAACGUUAUUUUACAAUAAAAUAUUUUUUAAUAUUUUAGUGAACAGAUAUUUUGAUAAUACAAAUUAAGACUAAUUUUAACAUUCGAAAAACGAACCAAAGGAAAAAUAUAUGGGCUGCAAGAAAUUCAUUUAUUUUUAGUCUUUUUAAUGCCUAGAUAUUUCCCUGCAUAUUUUAACAAUUAAAAAUUGUAGCAGUUCAUUAUUGUUUUGUAAAAGGCUUUCUAAAGGUCAGAGUGAGCGGCUUCUUUACAGCAGGAGGUUUUUGUACGACCACUGAGCGAGCUUGUAUCACUGUGGAGGACUUUUGGUGGCGGCACAAAGCUCUCAGUUGGACAUGCAGCUGUCUGAAGGGAUUAGGGACUCAGUGAAGAGGAACCAGAUACACUGAUCCUGGAUCAGCUCAUGGGCAUAGAUAAUAUGUUUAACCAUCCACAUACAGUUUGUACAGUUUUUCAGAUGUAAUACCAAACACAUACAAAAUAAAAGUCAAUUCUAACAUUG